CGACCUCGAGCGUAGCUUGGUGUUGAGGCCUGUCGCCCCGGCGGCAUCCUUUAAAAGCAUUGGCGGCAGCGCAGCUCAAUCGCAACAAAAUGCGUGCAAAGCGGCCAACUGCCCGCCAUAACUUUCCCGUCAGGGACUUUUUACCA
rnacentral:misc_RNA from 1 species